GGGUUGUGAGGUUAAGUGACUAAGCGUACACGGUGGAUGCCUAGGCAGUCAGAGGCGAUGAAGGGCGUGCUAAUCUGCGAUAAGCGUCGGUAAGGUGAUAUGAACCGUAAUAACCGGCGAUACCCGAAUGGGGAAACCCAGUGCAAUUCGUUG
rnacentral:rRNA from 1 species